UGGGGAAUAUUGGGCAAUGGAGGAAACUCUGACCCAGCGACGCCGCGUGCGGGAUGAAGGCCUUCGGGUUGUAAACCGCUUUCAGUAGGGAAGAAGCGAAAGUGACGGUACUUGAGGAAUAAGCAUCGGCUAACUCUGUGCCAGCAGCCGCGGUAAUACAGAGGAUGCAAGCGUUAUCCGGAAUCACUGGGCAUAAAGCGGCUGUAGGUGGUUUGGUAAGUCUGCUGUUAAAGACUGGGGCUCAACCCC
rnacentral:rRNA from 1 species